GGGGCCUACUGCUGGAUUUCCCUAGGCCGUCACUUCAAUGCCGCCAGGCCAGCCAGCAGCGCUGAGGGCUGCCUGCCAGAGCUGCUUGCUUGCUCUGCCAUUGGGGCUCAUCUCUAGAAGAAUUAUGAUGGUGGUGCCCUGCUGUUGAUCAGUCAAAUCUGUGGUGGGCCUAGAGAUAAGUCCUAAUCUGGAAUAGUUUCACUCCGAACAACAAACGUGGACGCUGCUCAACGGGGAGGAGGAGGGGAACACAGCCACCCAGUGUUUGCAGACUCCAGCACAGCAAAGUGGUGGACUUGAGGAGCAGCUCUGGUGGCGAAGGGGCAGCGUGAGGCACUGCUGGCCCCAACUUCCCGCAGGUGUCCAUCCGGCACCCGAGGCCUCGAGCAGCACCGUGUCUGUGUCCUGUGCCAUACCCACAGCCCUGGAACCAUGCAAGGAGAAUGAAGUUUGUUCUAAACGUGAAUUUAAUGUGCUUUCAGAUUUGACAGCCUCUUUUAAAAGGAAACGUUUAAGUUGAGCGAAAGGCACAUUUGCUUCUCCAAAUAAAUGGAAUUAUAGUUCAAAGAUCUGACUUAAUCCUGAGGCUCUUGCACUGUGCAGUAAGUAGGAAAGAAAGGGGAUUGCUCCGAGGAGCAGGGGUUAGCAGGAUCAGGGGCUGUUUUAUAUCAUCUCAUUUUCCUUCUGGUAUUUAAUAUACUUUCUUCUCAACUUGCACUGGCUGGUUCUAAAAAGACCCAGUAGUGUCAUACGUUAACUAAUGGCAUAUAAACUACUAAUUGAAACUAAUGAAGGAUGGUACAGGGAGUUCCCAUCCAGCUUUCCUGCUAGGCAAAUUUGAUUAUUGUUAAGCAAACAAAAAUGCCAUUCUUCCAGAUGUAUUCUCUCAUAUGGUUUCGUCCUUUUUCAGUUCAUUUCAGGACUUUUCUCAAAAUGCAUUUUACUUGUUAUAACUAUGUGCUCUUUUUCCACUUUAAAAAAAUGUAUAUACAACUGUGUUUUAAAAUCUACGUUGACAUUUCAGUGAUAUGAAGGAAGAUGUUUACACAGUAACAGUGCCAUCUAUAUUUAUUGUAUCUCUACAAACAGAAGUUCUGAUCAGAUAAAAUUAAAAUAUGUGUGUGAUGGUUUUUGUGUGUUGUAAUGACAUCUGUAUGUUUCUAGUUGUGAUUUUGGUGCCUGCCCCCACAUUACCUGGCUGGUUAAGGAAAGUGGGAUCAAUAUUCUUACUUCUCCGACGUAUCAGUUUGUUCGUUAACCCCAGUGCUGCUGGCUGCACUCUCUGAAAUCAGUGAUUUGUCUUUGAGCUAUUUCUUUUUCUGCCAAAGCGCCGAGGUACAUGUAUUCCAGGCAGUAGCUGCAUCUGCGGGACAUGCUAACGUGGAGAGGAGCCUGGGCAGGAGGAGCACUGUGCCUAAAGGGAGCGUUCAAGAAGAGUCUCCAGCAAAGAUUAAAAUGAAGAAUGAAUGAAAUUUAUUGUGGCAAAGUUUCCUUCAUAGGCUGCAAAAAUAUGUGUACAGACAUUUGGAUAAAGAAAGUUUUGCAAG
ensembl:lncRNA